AGAAGAGCGGAGGCUGUUAUAGCAGCAAAGGAGGGACCAACUCCAUAUUAAUGCCCAUGAUUUUGGAAUGAGAUGUUCGACAAGCAGGUGUCAUGUCCACACACUUUUGGUCAUGUAGUGUAUGUCAGGUAGACAUACAGUAUAUACUGCUUACACACUUUGUAUUACAUAUUUGAAAUAUUUACCCGAAUUCCUUACCACCCCAUAAACGUAACUACUGAAUAAAAUAAAAAAAUUGCAAUAAAAAAGGGAAAACCAUGCACAGUAGUGAUCAUUUUGAUAAACCUAUUAUAGAUUCAUUUUAUGAAUUUCAUUUGGAUACAAAAAUUAACAAAAUAGUAAAACAUGAUUUUUAACCAGACAUUCUAAACCUUUAAAUUUAAUUGAAAGAUUUCUGUAAAAUGUUCAAUAUUGAUUGUAUGAAUCUGAAACUUGUUGAUUGAUUUAAUAACUUAUGCAUUGUUGGAUUCUGGGUGAAACUUUGAACAUUGAACUCAGAAGUAUAAGAACAGUUACAAAGGAGACAUGAGGGGUGUCAUAAUUAAGCUUUGGAGGGGCUGAGUGCAGGGAACACAAUCGCAUGCGGCAGUACUGAUAAAGGGAGAAACUGUUGAAGGAUCAUAUCACUUAGUACCCUGCUCAACAAUAAUGAUGCAAUGUUUAGCGAUAAGGAGGAGACUCCACCCAAAGUGGGAUAUGAAUACUACCAUGGGGGAAGCCAUGUCUGAAUUACAGCUGUAUCGACCCUUUGGGAAGAAUUAAACUUGGUUAAGCUUCUCUAGUGUCCGUGAGUUAUUUACUCAGAAAAUUAGAGAUUAACAGCACCUAAUUAUUUAUGUUGUUAGAUGUUUAAAUUAUGACUUUACAUAUCUUUAUUUUGGCAAAAUAACAAGCGUUUCAGAUGGUAAUAUCCAGGAGCCAAGACCAAGAUGCAUACCAGGACAUUGGUCCUGUUGGAAUCGGCUAAACUUUGAACAUUGAGAUAUUAAGUAAAUGAUAGAGACGAAGCCUUGAAUAGAAAGAAUCUGUAGCAAGCCAGAAGGCUUUGGAAUGUGUUUGAUGGAGGAGAAGAUAGCGAUGUGUUGAUAUAGGGAAGACAGAUGGAUAUCUGUGGAUUCGGUGAAGAAGGGGGUGAGGUCAGUUCCCCUUAAGGGAGUAAUCAGGGUUAGUAUCUGGUUACCUUCUUUCCUGUGGAGCCAUAAACUGUAAAGAGGAGUGUCUUAAGUAGGAUGCAUAUAAACUGUGAUGUUUGAAAUGUUUAGCUGUCUGUUUUCAGCUGUACAGAAGAACCUUUGGGGAAUGAUUAAACUAGGUUAAGCUUCUCUAGUGUCCGUGGGUUAUUUACUCUGAAAAAGAACAACCUAACAGCAUCUAAUUAUUUAUGUUGUUAGAUGUUUAAAUUAUGACUUUACACAUCUUUAUUUUGGCAAAAUAACAAGCAUUUCAGAUGGUAAUAUCCAGGAGCCAAGACGUAUACCAGGACAUUGGUCCCAAGAUCCAGGACCUAGACCCAGAAAAGAUCAGCAAAGCUACAGUUGAACUUUCCAGACGUUAUACCUUCAGAGCAGGUCUGUGUGUUGGGGGAGGAGGAGACAACUUCCAUUCCAACAAUGAAAAAAGUGGUCCCAGACAGGGGCCAAACACACACACUUAGGAGUGAGCUGAGGUGCCUGCUGUUUGAGAGUGAGAUGCAAGUCAUACCAGAGGAAAUGUGAGCCUCAUACACAGAACCCUCUGUCUGUUCACACACACACACACACACACACCUGGUAAGCUACAAUUAAACUUUUCAGACUC